GACGAACGCUGGCGGCGUGCUUAACACAUGCAAGUCGAACGAUGAAGCCGGAGCUUGCUCCGGUGGAUUAGUGGCGAACGGGAGAGUAACACGUGAGCAAUCUGCCCUUGACUCUGGGAUAACUGCGGGAAACUGUAGCUAAUACCGGAUACGACACCUUGGGGCAUCCCAGGGUGUGGAAAGAAUUUCGGUCAAGGAUGAGCUCGCGGCCUAUCAGCUAGUUGGUGAGGUAAUGGCUCACCAAGGCGACGACGGGUAGCCGGCCUGAGAGGGUGACCGGCCACACUGGAACUGAGACACGGUCCAGACUCCUACGGGAGGCAGCAGUGGGGAAUAUUGCACAAUGGGCGAAAGCCUGAUGCAGCAACGCCGCGUGAGGGAUGAAGGCCUUCGGGUUGUAAAGCACUUUUGGCAGGAAAGAAAUCGCACGGAUUAAUACUCUGUGUGGAUGACGGUACCUGCAGAAUAAGCACCGGCUAAC
rnacentral:rRNA from 1 species